AUUGAACGCUGGCGGCAUGCCUUACACAUGCAAGUCGAACGGCAGCACGGGUGCUUGCACCUGGUGGCGAGUGGCGAACGGGUGAGUAAUACAUCGGAACAUGUCCUGUAGUGGGGGAUAGCCAGGCGAAAGCCGGAUUAAUACCGCAUACGAUCUACGGAUGAAAGCGGGGGACCUUCGGGCCUCGCGCUAUAGGGUUGGCCGAUGGCUGAUUAGCUAGUUGGUGGGGUAAAGGCCUACCAAGGGGACGAUCAGUAGCUGGUCUGAGAGGACGCCCAGCCAAACUGGGACUGAGACACGGCCCAGACUCCUACGGGAGGCAGCAGUGGGGAAUUUUGGACAAUGGGCGAAAGCCUGAUCCAGCAAUGCCGCGUGUGUGAAGAAGGCCUUCGGGUUGUAAAGCACUUUUGUCCGGAAAGAAAUCCUUGGCUCUAAUACAGUCGGGGGAUGACGGUACCGGAAGAAUAAGCACCGGCUAACUACGUGCCAGCCGCCGCAGUAA
rnacentral:rRNA from 1 species